UACAGAGGUCUCAAGCGUUGUUCGGAUUCAUUGGGCGUAAAGGGUGCGUAGGCUGUAGGGUAAGUCUGGUGUGAAAGCCCAGGGCUCAACCCUGGAAGUGCACUGGAUACGACGGCGCUGGAGUCCUGAAGAGGAGGGCGGAAUUCCCGGUGUAGAGGUGAAAUUCGUAGAUAUCGGGAGGAACACCAGUGGCGAAAGCGGCUCUCUGGACAGGUACUGACGCUGAGACGCGAAAGCGUGGGUAGCAAACAGG
rnacentral:rRNA from 1 species